CACUUGAGUAGAUCUCUAUAAACGCUGUCAUGCUACCUUUGUCUAUUUACUAGCAAGUGUUGGUUUGGAAGUACUCGCCAUACUUCCAUUGACAUUUAAAUUAAGCAUGGUGCUUAGGUUAAAUAGCCUUCCUUAAUCUGAUUAUACAUGGAGUCUAGUUUGGUUAUUGAACUAAAAAAAACUGCUUGAGUAGAUAUUGGUAUAUUUUGUCGGACUAACCCCUGCAGAAAAACUUUUAAUAUCGAUUUGGGAAGUCCUGAGAUAAACUCACAUCAGAGACGAAGAGAGUGACACAUGAAGUUUAACAAUUUGCACAAGAAGGACAUAGCUCAUUCAUCAUAGAGAGAUGAUCCAUGGAGGGUGCCAUAAACACGACGCACAACCGCUAAGAAAGGAAAGCUUCCACAAGAUGAUACUGUACCAUCACUCUUCGAGCAAGGUAAUAUCUUAAGGUACUUGACUAUCACUUUUAUAAGCUUCUCCUUGGUUCGGGCGUUCAUAUAAAUAAAAGAGACAAACGUGUAUGAUUUACAACUCUAGAUUAACCAACCCAACUGAUUCAACAUGUUUAGUCCUUUAAUCCUUGUUCUUAGUACUACCUCCAUGAUCCCACACUCCUAAUUAUAUGAGCUAAAAUGUUACACAUUCAAUCAUUGAGAGAUAUAAAGAAAAAAGACAUAUACAUAGAUAGAUUAUCUUUCCAUAAGGUUGAGCGAUCUGAUCUGACAAAUGUUAUAAGUGCUACACUCAUGAACUUAUCGUCCAUCAACUUUGUCUUGCUCACUAUGCUUAAGGUUAGAGAAGAACAAAUACACUUUCGGUUCUGUUGGUGUUUUCCACCAACAAGGCCCAUGCACUUGAUCUCUGCCUUGUCUCUAUGAGCAGGUACACUACGAGCACAAACACACUGAGCAAGAUACUGCUAACACCGCACUUCGAACUGCUGGGCAAACGAAGAACGUGGGUGACACCGUAUUAAAAGGUGCAGACGUCAAGGUCCGCACCUGAAUCAAAUGACGCACCUGAAGAAUGAACACGGUGAAAAGUCUUGUCAAGAAGACUUAAAACAUUGAACCCUCGCCGAAAGGUAAGAUUGGUAGUUAUCCAUAUUUAUCCUUUCUGCAUUCCCUUUUCCCUUUAAUUAUUUACUUUCCUUAAAUAGAUUAUUAGUUAAUCAGGCUAUCUUGAAAAGAAAAUAAAAAUGUUAAAAAAUACUAAGCCCCAUGUGAGUAUACGAGUGGCAUAAAACCCAUAAGUACCUCCACUGUGGUGGCAUAAAAAUAAAAUAAAUAUUUCUUUUCUACUUUAUAAAAUAAAAAUAUAAAAACAGGGAGUAAUAUUUAUUGAGGAAGCUCAACGUGAUGAAGGCUAGAUAUUUAUGCUAACACUUAAUUAGUUCCACAAGCUUUGUUAUCUAUUUGAGCUCCACAGAAUUUAAGAAUCAAGAAGACUAGCAGACGGAGGACAUUCUAAUCGCUGUCAGAAUGCUGCUGACUUUCAAAUACACCUCUGCCACCUGCUAGCUACAUCAAGAGAAAUUACGUCAAAAUUCAGCUUGGGGGAGAGCACCCCCAUUUAUCUCGCUAAGUAUUUCUACCUAUCUUUAUACUUAUAUUAUAUUAGAAUAUUAAAAUACAUAAACUAUGAAAAACCAAAUAAAGAUUAUGUGCUUAUAUAUAUAUCUUUUGCUUAGUGUGUUUAAUAAAUAAAUAAAGUGGCUAUGCUAAUCUGAAUCUUAAUAAUAAAACUCUAGCAUGGAUAUGAUGAAUAGUUGCUCCGCCUAAUUUGCAAAUUUGAAGUUCUCUCUCAAGUUUAGACAUAACUGUUAUAAUUUAAAGCUUGCUCUAGAUCUAAACUUGUGGGAUGAAAACUUGAUCUGAAAUCUAAGUUGUUAACGGAUAUGAUAUGGGAAGGUUGAGCUGUUGUUUAUCUCUUCCUAGAGAUGCUAGAAUUCUGGAGAAUUUUAUCUUUGAAAAAUAUUUAAAAUAUUGCAUGAUGAGUUCCUGUAUGAUGAAAGUUUAAAUUCCUACCACAGCCAUAUAUACAUGCUUGCUAGAUUUUGAGCCACACAUUUAAUAUUUACUACUUAUGAGCAUUGAGUGUGGUCAAGCUGUGUAGACCCUUAGGAGCUUGUCAUGUGGUUAAAUCAAGAUUCACUUGCACGUUCACUCAUAUAUGCUACUUCUACUCCAGAAGUACCAUCCACAUAUAUCCAUCCAUUUCCAUCUCCAGAAUCACCUAAAAAUAUUCUACUCCUAAUUCGGGAGAGAAUAGCCAAAAACAUCUGUGUUUUUCCCUUGUGAAAUAAAUGCUCAAGUUAUCUUGCUACUACCACUUGCUAUAUUAUCUCAAGAGAUGAGUGCUCUGAAAAAAAAGAAAAAAAGAGAAGAAAAAAAAAAAAGAAAAAAACGAGGAAAUAAAAAGGGGCAAGUGCCCGGAACCUCGAAAGAAAAGAAAAAGAGUGAGACGAGAGGUAAAAAUGGACAAGUGUCCCACAGUAGAAUUAGGGGUACAGGAUACCCAUCUGAGAGAAAAGAAAAAGAAGAGCAUCUCAUUCUCCUCAUAAAGUUUCAAAAAAGCAAGGAAGGUAUGUAUCCCCUCAUAAGAGCAAAAGUAGAAUUAGACUUUCACCAUUGUUAUCACCAUCAUCACUAUACGCCAUUCAUUCGCCACACAUGCACAUCUUGAUUUGGCUUAUUGAUUUGUUUCUUUGGAUCCAUGGUUUGACUAUACAAUAAAUGUCUUGUAAGUAUGUAUACUUUAUCUCCCACCUAUGAGCUCCAGAUAUUAAAGCCUUAUUAGAGUAGGGUGAGAGAGAAGGCAAUGUCACUAUGCUUUAUACCACAAAUACCACAUAUUUUGAGAGAAGGCAUAUACCAUCACUGCCUUGGUAAGGAUCCAGAAAUACCACAAAAGAGAGAUAUGAGAGAGUCAUACAAAGGAAUCUCUGAGUUUUAUUUGAAAAUCUGCAAAAACUCCAGAGCUAUAGCUGAUCAAGAAUAAGAGACAUGGCACUUGACUGGACUGUUCUAUCUUUUAACCACUCAAGACAGAAGUGACGGUUACAAGUCCCAUUGUGAAAGGUAAAGUAAGUAAGUUUUAGUUCUUGAUAGUUUACUCUAACUCAGAGAUGAGAACUUAUUUAAAAGCAUGUGUACCGUCAAUUUUUAAAGAUAUUGCAACAACUUAUGAUCCAUAGCUGAGUCUAUCCUUGCUCAGGGACGAGCAAGAGGUAAGCUUGGGGGAGUUUGUUGACGGUCCUUAAGUAUCAAAUUUAAUUAUCAAAUAAACAAAGAAAAGGGUCCAAAUGAAAUCAACAUCUAGACUUAGGGUUUUAUCUGAUAGAAUUCCACGAGUUUUGGUGUUUGUCUAUUUCUGCAGGGGGUUAUCAAGAAAUACGGAAGAAAGGCCCACACGUCAGGAUUACAUAGAGAUAUUAACGUGCCGCGCAAUUAUCUUACAUCUAGAAGACUCCAGAAGCCACGGGAAGGAAGCGGAGACCGAACGGAGUCAGGGACAGGGCGCCCGCCCAAGUCCUUAGGGCGCCCGCCCAAGUCCUUAGGGCGCCCGCCCACCUAUUUCGGCCAAUCACGCUCAAUCUCGCGGAUUAUGCUCCACCGACCUAAAGGAUCAAGAAUAAACGUUCAAUCAAUGUCGGUUUGAUCCGACGGCCCAGGUUCACUUGAGGGGACUAUAAAACCAGACCCCCUGGCCCCUAGAGAAGGCACCCCUUAAUCAUUAUUCAUUAUUCAUAGACAGAGCAAAAGCUAGGGUUUAGAGAUGAGAGCUCUCCUCUCUUCUCUAAACUAGAGUAGAUCUAGAUAGUAGCGAGAUGGAGAGCGAAGGAGGAUUAGAGGAGAGGCCGGCCUGUCGGUUCUUCCUCCGGUUGUACUUCGCCAUGAUCAAGCUCUAAUUAAGCUUGCUCAUGGGAUGACUCUGGUAAUCUACUUCUAAUUCAUUAUGCAAUUACUAAUCAUGUAUGUUCUGGUUCACAACUCUUUUGAGUACAUCUAAUCUAUAGGACCCUAUAGGUUAGAGUUGUAGUAUAGGUGUAAGCGUGGUGCUUAGACCUAGAUUACUUGUGGAUAUCCCCUGACUAGCUGGAUCGUGUGGUAGGCCGCGUAGGUGACAGUUACGUUGGUCCCCUGUAGUCCACCUCUCGUUAGCAGGACGGGUAGGGUUUAUCGGCCUAUGGAUAAGCAUCCUUUGUGGUGUACUCUUAUCACGUGGUUCGUCCCAGACAUAGACACACCCCUUUGAAGUAGAGAAACCAUAGUUAUCCUCUCUAUUCUGCUACCAUCGCCCAUAUACUAGAAUUGCUCUACUCUCUAUUCCCAUAUUAUCACUCACUGUUAUCUUACCUUUAAUAUUGUUCUUAUUCGAUUCUACCAUCUUUCCUAUUCACACCUAUUUACUUAUCUUGGUUAAGUUAGAGCGUAGAUUAGUUCUCCCGUUUCCCUGUGGAUACGAUAAAACCUUUAACCGGGUAAAAGCUUCAACGGUAUCCGUGCGCUUGCGGAUUAUCUGUGUGCGUAUAAAUACCAUAGUACACUCUAAUGCCACGCUGGGGAUGACAACCUAGUAUUCAAGUGGUGUUAGCAAGUGUCAACAGUCGGCAAGGUUUUACUACCGAUGGUCAACUCUACACAUAUUGCCCCCUUAACCGGAGACACAUUCCCUUCAAAGUCUUUAAGCAUCAUAUCGGUCUUGGUUAGAUCCUGAUCUCCCUUUCCAAGCUUCCGAUAUACUGCAUACGGCAUGAUAUUGAUAGCAGCCCCACUAUCAAUUAGAAUCUUGGUCAUCGGCUGCCCAUCAACCCUUCCUUUGACAAACAGAGCUUUGAGAUGUUGCCUUUCAUCAUCGGCAGGCUUCUCGAAGAUAGCUGUCAUUGGAUCCAAAGAAAAUUGAGCUAUUUGAUCAGAGAACUCCAUCUCAUCAUCACUGGAUGGUGCAAGAAACUCCAUUGGCAACAUAAAGACCAUGUUGACGUCUGCCGAUGGGCCUUCCUCCUUAGGAUCUGAUUGUUGCUGAUCCCCAGGCUGUCCAGAGCUCUUGCUCAACCCUUCUCGCCUUUCGCGCUGCAGUCUUCUCUUCUGAGUCCUGGUUAACCCCUCCGAACACCAUGGAGGAAGUUGCUGCUGCCUCACCGAUGGGCGGCGAUUUUCCCCUGACUCCAUCCGAUAAGUGUUGGCAUCCCUGCAGAAGAUGAACUCAUCGGGAACCCGUGCAUUGGCCAUCUCUUCGAACUCUUCCUAGUUCCUGGGAAAAUAUUGGACACUGUUGACGGUCCUUAAGUACUAAAAUUAAUAAUCAAAUAAACAUGAAAAAGGAUCAAUAUGAAACAAACAUCUAGAAUUAGGGUUUUAUCUGACAGAAUUCCAUGAGCUUUGGUGUUUAUCUAUUUCUGUACGGGGUUAUCAGAGAAUAUGGAGAGAAGGCCCACAUGUCAUGUUUACAAUGAGAUAAUUACGUGCCGCGCAAUUUUCCUCAAUCUAGAAGAGUCCAGAAGCCACGGGAACGAACGAGAGCACGAUCGGGCUCGGGGGCAGGGCGGCCGCCCACCCCCUUGGGCGCCCGCCCAGGGUUGGAGUUGGAUCAGGACUCUGCUUCGGGACUACGCUCCACCGACCUAAAGGAUACCUUUAUCAUUAUCUUUAUGGUUUACCCCCUGCUAAAGUAAGUGACUGUGUGACGAGUUUCUCAUUAGUAAUCAUGUUCUUGCAGGUUUAUCUCUAGUCUAUGCCUUGAUAGAUUUUGCCCCUUGAUUUAAUUUCAUCUUCUUUAGAUCCCUUGAGCAAAAUUAUAAAUAACGAUACCUGGAAUACUUAUCCUGGUGAAAUGCUACAAUGAGGUGUUUUAUCUGUGCGCUUGCGGAUAGAAUAGAUUAUUUUCUAGAGAGCCCUUUACAUUUAUAAAUACCUUUGUACACUCUGGCACCAUGCUGGGGAUGACAACCUAGUAUCUAAGUGGUGUUAGCUAGUGUCAACAAGCAUUUCUGGCGCCGUUGCCGGGGAUUUAUACGAGUCUCAGGAAUAAGUCAUAAAGGGGAACAAAAGGGUAAUACUUAGGAAAGCCAGAAAUUCAGUCAAGGUUAUUCAUAUAAAAUAUUAGACUAGACUAUAGAGAAAUAAUUGCAUAAAAACAGCUACUAAGUGAGAAAUCAUAACAAGGCACCUCUGCAUUGGCAGGUUCACCCUGUUGUUUUUCUAUGUUUAUAUUUUUAUAUAGGGUAUAACAGGAUUGACUUUGGGUACAUUCAACUCUUCAUCAUGAGAACCAAAGCAAUCAAGAGAAGAAGAAGCUAGCUACCAAUUGCUGAAGCUAUGGCACAAAAGACCUUGCAAGAAUUCUCUGCUCCAAGCCUUGAGAACAUUCCAACUGGUCCAAGAUUUGCAGUAGAAGAAGGAAUACCCGAGUUUGAGCUCAAGUCAAGCCUCACCAAUUUGGUGCAAGCUACACAAUUCAGUGGAAAGGCACAUGAAGAUGCUAGUGCACACUUGCAGAAUUUCUUAGAGAUUGGAAGCACAAUCCACAUCAACGGAGUUGACAAAGACGUCAUACUGCUUUGCCUUUUUCCAUUCUCACUAGAAGGGAAAGCGAGGAAGUGGUUCUACACUCAUCAAGAUAACAUCAACAACUGGACGAACUUGUUAGAUGCCUUUCUAUCAAAGUUUUUCUCUAUAGGCAAAACAACUGCCUUAAGAGGAAAUAUUGUCAGUUUCCAACAACAGAAGACCGAAGCCAUUUUAGAAGCAUGGGAGCGUUUUCAAGGAUACAUAUCAGAUUGUCCUCACCAUGGAAUGGCCACAUGGUUACUUAUGCAGACCUUCUACCAUGGAUUAACCCAGAAGGCUCGUGAGUGCCUAGAUGCAUCUGCUAAAGGAUCAUUCUUGGAGCUUACAACUGGAAAAGCAGAGAUACUUUUGGAUAAGAUAGCAGAAAACCAAAGCUGGUUCCAAGAUAAAGCUCAACACUGUCAUCAAACUGAAGAAAUACCAGAAGAAGUAAAUGCAUUAUCAACAAAGAUGGAAAAUUUGCUCCAUUGGAUUGACCAGAGGGCCAAGUUCAAAGAAGAUCAAAGGGCCAUUGAGACAGCAUACAAAUAUCAACCAACUUCAAGUCAACCCAAUAGCAAAGGUAUGAAUUCAGGUAAUACUUUCAAGCAACUUUCAUUAAAAGAGAUAAUUGCUCAACAAACCAAAAUUAAUGACGAAGUUAAACAAAGGCUAGAUACAAAUCAAUCAUCUCUAAAAGAUAUACACAAUAAAAUGGAUUUUCUACUAACUGCCUUUGAUGAGCAAAACACUCUUAAUAAAAGGGUAGAGCUUAAAUUAAUAAAGAUAGCUGCUGCACUGCCUGUUGCUACUAACCUUGAGCAGGUAAAGAAUAUAACUACUAGAGGAGGCAAAGCUACCAGAGAUCCCCCAUACCCAAAAGAGAAACAAAGAACAUCAGCACCAGUACAACCAGCAGUGAUAGAAGAAGAAAGCCCAGUUGAAGCAGAAGAUCUGCUACAACCACCAAGAACUGGAGAAAUGAGGAAAGAUUUCUACGACACCAACUAUUUGCCAUUUCCUAGGAGAAACAGAGGACUGCAGUCAGAUGAGCAGUUUGGUAAGUUUGUAGAGGUCAUUCAGAAAUUAUAUGUCAACAUACCUCUGCUCGAUGCCAUACAGGUACCUACAUAUGCAAAGUACAUCAGAGAUAUUCUUAACAAGAAGAGACCACUGCCCACCACUGAGGUUAUCAAGCUGACAGAAGAAUGUAGUGCGGCCAUCCUUAACAAACCACCAAAGAAGAAGGAAGAUCCCGGAUGUCCCACUAUUGAUUGCUCGAUCGGAAACCAACACUUCAACAAUGCACUUUGUGAUCUCGGAGCAAGUGUCAGUGUGAUGCCAGCAUCAGUCUACAAAAAGCUUGAUCAUGCGACCCUAGAACCAACAUCAAUGUGCCUGCAACUAGCGGAUCAAUCGGUUCGACACCCGUUGGGCAUCGCCGAGAACAUUCCAGUCAAGAUCAGAGAUUUCCUGGUGCCAGUAAGACUUCGUAGUACUGGACAUGAGUCCUGACUCAAAAGUGUCCAUCAUCCUUGGAAGGCCAUUUCUAAGCACUGCCAAUGCCCACAUUGAUGUCGAAAAAGGAGAAAUCAAGUUCAACAUAAACGGUCAAGAAGAACACUUCACAUUCAAACCCAGACCAGAGAGAGACUCUACAGUGAAGGAAGUUCAUGAAGAACCACUGGAGACACCAUCUCCGGAGGAAGGUAACUCAGAAGAUUAAAAGAUUUGGAGGUCCAGCUUGGGGGACCUAAAAAUCUCAAACCCUCACCGGGAGGUAAAUUGGUAUUUAUCCGCAUUAUUAAUUUUCUCAUGUUUAAAUUCUUGCAUAAUUAAUUUUUGCAUUAGUCAUAUAUAUUCAUAACAUUAGUAUAAUAAUCAAAAGCCCCAUAUAAAUAAUAUUCAUGGUGUGUAACAACCCAUAUUUAUUAAUUAUUGUGGAGGCACAAAAAUAUUUUCCAUUAUCAUUUUAAUUUUCAAUUCUCAUAGAUUUUUCUUGCAUUAUAUUUAAUAGUAACCUUCUAGAAACAUGACCCACACUCCUUGGGUCCCACAUGUCAUACACCACACCUCACAUACAUCCCAUCACAUAAUUUCAUCCACCAAUAUGUUUCCACUCACCAGACAUCUUUCCACCAUCCAACAACCACCACACAACAUUAUUCUGCGUGAGAUCAAAGCAAGGAAGCAAGUGGAGGAGGCACACCCAGGAUGGACACCAGGAGUGGGCGCACGCCCACCUACCAAGGGCGCCCGCUCUGCUCCCUCUUCCUCCUAUAAAUAGCCACCUUCUACCUCCAUCCUCUCCACACAAGCACUCCAGAAAACCACACAAGUAUCAGUUUCCAGAAAGAGCUCUUGUAGUGAAGAGAGAAGAGAGUAGAGAGAAAGAGAAGAGUGGGAAAGAAGUUGAUAGAGAGUGAGUAUCACCUAGCAAGAAGUGAUCCCGCUGUCUAAGCAGAAGUAAAAGUUGUUUAGGGGAAGGCUCUACCAAAAUAGAAACUUGUCUUGAACGAUUAACCCCUGGACUACUGAUAUUGCGGACAGCUGACCACUAACAUUUUUUCUCACAAUUUUCCACUAGUGUGUUUUUGCUAACUUUUGUUUGCAGGAUGUUUAAGAAGGUGAAGAAUGCAGGAAAGGCUCUCAAGAACAUUGGUACAAGGAGUUCAGCCCGACACUCCUCACAGUCAUCAGAGAUGAGCGUCGACCCGACACCCACACAAGCUCCAUCAUCUUCAUCAGGUCAGCAAGUCAAGGUCCUUCUCAAGAUAGGAGACCUUGGACUGAAGACCCGAAGAGAGAAGGAAGUCUAUCAACUAUUGAGGAACAAAGAUUUCAUUCACACCCCUACUCUCGAUCCAAUCCUACUACAAGAAACAGGUAUGGACACUGAAUUCGACUUGAUUUUUCAGAUGAUGGGUUGGACAAAUUUUUGGAAUAUAACUGAGCUGGGUUCUCACCCUCGAAUUUCUUUGCACCUUACAAUACUAUGAAGGGGGAAUUAUUUUUUGGAUGUUCAAACAGGAAAUUAUGUUAUCUUGGAGAGAGCUGAGCGACCAUCUUGGUUUCUCUUCAAGAUGCAUCCUGAACAUUGACUCCGAUUUACCCAACUUUGAGAGACACCAGUUUUGGAGAGAAAUAUCUAGAGAUAAUUUUUAUAGUCAAGCCCGAACUAGUGAUAUGGAACACCCCACUCUUAGGAUGUUCCACAAAUGGCUUGGGUACAAUCUUUUCUAUCGUGACGAUAUUAGAAAAGUAAGAGUAGGAGAUUUACAACUUUUAUAUGCUGCUAUUAGUAAAGUACCUACUUCACCUGUUACACUAUUAGUUUCUCAUUGGCUUAGUAUACCUAGUCUUCAGGGACCAGUAGGAUGUACUUCACUUAUCACUCGUCUAUCACUAAUCUUCACUUACUAGAAAACUCAUCGUUAGACUUCAUAGAAGAAUUAAGAAUUUAUCAUGGCUAUGACACAUUUAGACAAGCUCAGAUGUUAAAGAAAGAGGGAAAUAUAAUGUAUAUGCUAUAUGAUGAUAAAGGCAAGAUUCGGUUACCUAACCCGAACCUUGGCCUCUACGCUGUGCAAAACUUUUUGAUUGAGAUUGCAGCAACACCAGUAAACCAGAGAACUCCACAGCGAGUGGCAUCAGAAAGGAUAACCACUCACCGAGAACGCACUUGGUAUGGAGCUAACCCUGGACCAGAAGAAGCAGCGCACCUGCAUUAUUGUGAUUACAACCCUCGAGUCCUUCGAGACCCAUGGGCUCGACAUGCGCAACCACAAGAGCCAACAGAGGAGACAUGGCCGGAGAGCCAAGAUCACCAGUGGACAAACCCGCCUUUUCAUACGGGCAGGUACUCCACUGAUCCAUAUGGAGCUUCAGGAUCCAGACCUCCGCCCCAAUUUGAUGCAGGAUGAUACUCAGACGCCUCCUACGCUUUCACGAAUGACUACUAUCAAGAGGCCGGUGCUUUCUUCACUCGUACCGACAACACCCUUCUCGACAUCCAGAAUACGCAAGCAGAACAUGGAAGACUCCUGGAAGAGCAACAAAAAUGGAACCAGGACCAUGCAGCUGCAGUGCAAGAGCUGAGACAAGAUACAACAACAAUGAACGACAACAUCACAACCAUGAUGCGGUUCUGGAACAUCGGGUAAGACCGACGUCAACAUCCAGCUUGGGGGAGUUCCUUCCCAAUUUAUCAAGUAAGUUUUUAUUUGCUCUUCUUAUUUAUUCUAUUCUUAGUAUUUAUUUUAUCUUAAAAGGAAAAAACUUAGAAAACCUAAUAAAUAUUUUCUUGCUUUAAUUUACUGCAUUUUAUAAACAUGAAAACAAAAUAAAAAGAGUGUGUAGAUAAGUGUGCUUUAUUUAUCUGCUAAGUCUUAAUCUCUAAAAAAAUAAUAAUAAAAGACCAAAAAGAUGCAUGAUGGAAAUAAUGAACAGUUGCUCUGUUUGCUUACUUUCAAGUACCUAGCUUCUAUAUUAGAGUUCUUCCAGGAAUUACUAAAACUAAAAUUACUAUCUUUGGGAAGAGAAAGGCAUGAUAUAAAGUUGAGCUGCUGUUUAUCUUGUUCCUACUACACUAAGUUCUGGAGAUUUAUUUUGAAAACUUACAAGUCACAUGAUGAGUUCCUAGCAUAACAAAACUACCUACCACAGCCAUACUUGCUAUAACAUCUUUUACUAUAUUUACAUUGAGUUUGAUCGAGCUGUGUAGACCCUUAGGAGCUUUUCAUGUGGUUAAAUUAAGAUAUUCACUUGCACACAUCUACUACACCAUUCAUCAUCAUUUAUUAAAAUUGCUAAAAAUAUUAUCACUCACUAUCCCGAAUAUUGUUAUUCUCUCUCUCUAAAAAGAUUCAAUGCAGAAGAGGCAUGGGUUAUGCAAAAAUAUGCGAGGAAAUAAAAAGGGGCAAGUGCCCGGAACCUCGAAAAAGAAAGAAAAAAAAAGUGAGACGAGAGGUAAAACUGGACAAGUGUCCGAAGUAGAAUUAGGGGUACAAAGAUGCUCCCUUGAGCGAAAAAAAUGGACAAGUGUCCGAAAGUAGAAUUAGGGGUAUCAACUACCCACCUGAAAAAAAAGAAGAGAGAAGAAGAAAAAGAGAUAGCCCAUGUUCUCCCAAAGCAAAGAUCAAAGAAGAGGAGAGAUAGCAAUAUGAGGAGCAAUGAGAACCAAGUUUUAUUAUUAUUUAUACAUUUUUAUCAUCAUUAUCAUUUACUUCAUCACACAUGCACAUCUUGAUUUAAUUAUAUGUUGAGUUCCUUUGGAUCCAUGGCUCGAUUAGACAACAUAUGUAUGAGCUAAUUUUCACUCCUAUGAGCUCCACUUAAAUAUUCCCUUAGCUAUAGGUAAGUGACAUUAUGGUAAGGAUCCACAAAUACCACAUAUAGAGAGACUUGAGAGAAUCAUUGCUGGGAACUCUGAGUUUUAUUUUGAAAACUUAUGAAAAAAUCUGGAACAAAGGUGAAGUAUAGACAGGAGGGAUAGUGCUUGGCUUAACUAUUUUGUCUUUCGAUUACUUAAGAUUUAAGUGCAAGUACUAAACUUUAUAAAACUUCAAUCUAACCUGGAAGAAUUUUAUGUAAAAGCAUGUGUGCC
rnacentral:lncRNA from 1 species